CAUUAAGCUGUACAUUCAGCAGAUAGAAGUGAUUUAAAGCCCAGAGGUCAGCAGGCAGGGAGGCGUUGAGAGGUGUUCAUUUGAAAUGCCACCCCGUAUCAGUCCCCUUAAGGAUGCAAUUCAGCACGUUGUUUCAAAGACAGACAAAACAUGCAGACUAGAGGUGAAAUACAUCAAUGCAGUGAAAGGACGUGGUGUAUUUGCAAAGGGUUCAAUUUGCAAAGGAGAUUUUGUUGUUGAAUAUAGAGGAGAUAUGAUAAAUGAUGCAGAAUCC